UACGGAGGGUGCGAGCGUUGUCCGGAAUCAUUGGGCGUAAAGGGCGCGUAGGUGGCGGGACAAGCGUGCGGUGAAAGCCUGGGGCUCAACCCCGGGUCGGCCGUGCGAACUGUUUUGCUUGAGCACCGUAGAGGCAGGCGGAAUUCCGGGUGUAGCGGUGGAAUGCGUAGAGAUCCGGAAGAACACCGGUGGCGAAGGCGGCCUGCUGGGCAGUAGCUGACACUGAGGCGCGACAGCGUGGGGAGCAAACAGG
rnacentral:rRNA from 1 species